GAGUACACUCUAAACCCUUUAACGAGGAUCAAUUGGAGGGCAAGUCUGGUGCCAGCAGCCGCGGUAAUUCCAGCUCCAAUAGCGUAUAUUAAAGUUGUUGCGGUUAAAAAGCUCGUAGUCGAAUUUGUGUCCCGCGCCGCCGGUUCAUCGCUCGCGGUGUCAACUGGCGUGUCCGCGGGACGUCCUGCCGGUGGGCUUAGCCCCUGUGGGCGGCCCAAUCUCAAUCCCACCGCGGUGCUCUUCACUGAGUGUCGAGGUGGGCCGGCACGUUUACUUUGAACAAAUUAGAGUGCUUAAAGCAGGCUAAAACAUCGCCUGAAUACUGUGUGCAUGGAAUAAUGGAAUAGGACCUCGGUUCUAUUUUGUUGGUUUUCGGAACCCCGAGGUAAUGAUUAAUAGGAACGGAUGGGGGCAUUCGUAUUGCGACGUUAGAGGUGAAAUUCUUGGAUCGUCGCAAGACGGACAGAAGCGAAAGCAUUUGCCAAAAACGCUUUCAUUGAUCAAGAACGAAAGUUAGAGGUUCGAAGGCGAUCAGAUACCGCCCUAGUUCUAACCAUAAACGAUGCCAGCUAGCGAUCCGCGACGUUCCUCCGAUGACUCGGCGGGCAGCUUCCGGGAAACCAAAGCUUUUGGGUUCCGGGGGAAGUAUGGUUGCAAAGCUGAAACUUAAAGGAAUUGACGGAAGGGCACCACCAGGAGUGGAGCUGCGGCUUAAUUUGACUCAACACGGGAAACCUCACCAGGCCCGGACACCGGAAGGAUUGACAGAUUGAGAG
rnacentral:rRNA from 1 species